rnacentral:rRNA from 1 species
CCUACGGGAGGCAGCAGUGAGGAAUAUUGGUCAAUGGCCGGAAGGCUGAACCAGCCAUGCCGCGUGAAGGUCAGUGCCCUAUGGGCGUUAAACUUCUUUUGUGCGGGAGCAAUAAUGGUCACGUGUGGCCAGACGAGAGUACCGUACGAAUAAGCAUCGGCUAACUCCGUGCCAGCAGCCGCGGUAAUGCGGGGGAUGCAAGCGUUAUCCGGAUUUAUUGGGUUUAAGGGGUGCGUAGGCUGUGAGGUAAGUCAGCGGUGAAAUGCCCCCGCUCAACGGGGUGAAGUGCCAUUGAUACUGCCUGGCUGGAAUGCGGAUGCCGUGGGAGGAAUGUGUGGUGUAGCGGUGAAAUGCAGAGAUAUCACACAGAACACCGAUUGCGAAGGCAUCUCACGAAUCCGCGAUUGACGCUGAUGCACGAAAGCGUGGGUAUCAAACAGGAUUAGAUACCCCAGUAGUC